AGAGGAACAAUACUGGCAGGCCUGUGAGGUGUGUGGGAUCUGCUUACUGUUUGUGCUCGAGCCUCACUCUAAUGUGCCUCCUGUCCUGGGACCUAGGGUGUUGGCCCAAUCUUGCCUAAAACAGGAUGGACCAGAGUGAAGACAUGAACAUCUCCUAGGAGCAGCUUUUGCAAGAUGAGGUCGAAAGGCCCUGACAGCCGCACGGAAGACUGUAUUUCCACCUUCACCAGUUCUCCUGUUCUAAACUCAGGCUCAGAAGAAGAUCCUGGGGGCUGAGUGGCGGAGUCCUUCUCCCUGACUUCAUGGCGAGGCAGCCAGCAAGACUAGGCAGUAAUUACCCCCCCCAGGUGAUUGUACAAUGUCUGCGGGUGCCUUGCAAAGCUGGUUGGGAGCCAUGUAGAUACGUGCAGGCUGAGAAGUCUCUGCAUGACGGGAUCUGCUGCUGCCUGCACGGCUCUUGCCACCCCCAAGGGGAUGAUAAGGAAAUAACUGGUUGGGCCAUGCCAGAGUUUUUUUUGGUGAUCAUACAUAGGGGACCCAGCCCUAAGAGAGUUAGACCCUGAAGAUCUUAAACAUCCUUGACAUUUACAUAGCAAACACCAGUGUUUGAAACAUUUGGAAUAAAUCUACAGAUGGAGCACCAGAUUUCAUUGUGUUUCUAAUGGCAAAUGUGGAUGUGAACUGAGAUUGCGUAAAACUAAAAGUCCCCUAACAGGACUUCCCUGGUGCUGUAAGAACAGUUCUUUUCAUGGCCAGACUGUAAAACCAGCAAAGGAUGCUAUAUUAUACGACUGUAUCAGAAAAGUGCUUCCCCCUCCCCAAAUAAAUUUACUAAGAGUUGACUCUAAGACUUAGUUCAGGGCUUCCCUGGUGGCUCAGUAGUAAAGAAUCUGCCUGCCAAAUGCAGGAGAGACACAGGUUCGAUCCCUGAUCCAGGAAGAUUCCGCAUGCCACGGAGCAACUAAGCCGGUGCUCUGCAACUACUGAGCCUGUGCUCUAGAGCCCAUGAGCCGCAAUUACUGAAGCCUGCUAGACCUAAGGCCCGUGCUCCACAACCAGAGAAGCCGCCACAGUGAGAGGCCCGAGCACCGCAGCUAGAGAGCAGCCUCCACUUGUCACAACUAGAGAAAACCCCCCCAACAACAGACCCAGGAC
ensembl:lncRNA